rnacentral:lncRNA from 1 species
UCUUUCAAUAACAAAGAUUAAACUUACUUGCACAUUUCUUCUAAUUGCAGCUGCAGCAGGGAGAAAGAUGAGGAAACAACAUCUUAAACCUUAAGUACAAGCUGGUUGCUUAACCUGGCUCAUGCCUACCCAAUUUGCAGUUGCUUUUUAGCUCUAAUGGUCAGCUUCUCCUCCUUCUAUUGUCGCGCAAGAAACUUUUGACUUAGUUCACAGCUGAAAAAACCACUUGGUUUUGGAUCACACUGCUGAAGUGCAGUGGCAGCAUUUGGAAGAACACAGACAAAAGGAUUGCACAUUUAUAAAUUGUGCAAUGUACAUGAUUCAGGUGUCGGCUGGCCUGGAAUAUUGAUCAGGUGCAUAGGGCAUGUUAGCACCAUGCAGUUCAGAGAUGUACAGACUAGUUUCAAACAUGCUGGUUUCUUCAGG